rnacentral:rRNA from 1 species
UACGUAGUGGGCAAGCGUUGUCCGGAAUUAUUGGGCGUAAAGAGCGCGUAGGCGGUCCGGUAAGUCGGCUGUGAAAGUCAAGGGCUCAACCCUUGAAAGCCGGCCGAUACUGUCGGACUAGAGUCCGGAAGAGGCGAGUGGAAUUCCCGGUGUAGUGGUGAAAUGCGCAGAUAUCUGGAGGAAUACCGGUGGCGAAGGCGGCAUCCUGGACCGGCAUUGACGCUGAGGAGCGAAAGCUAGGGGAGCAAACGGG